rnacentral:rRNA from 1 species
AGCUAGUUGGUGAGGUAACGGCUCACCAAGGCGAAGACGGCUAGGGGGCGUGAGAGCGUGGCCCCCCACAAUGGAACUGAGACACGGUCCAUACUCCUACGGGAGGCAGCAGUGAGGAAUAUUGCCCAAUGGGGGAAACCCUGAGGCAGCAACGCCGCGUGGACGAUGACGGCCUUCGGGUUGUAAAGUCCUUUUCUGGGGGAAGAUGAUGACGGUACCCCAGGAAUAAGUCCCGGCUAACUACGUGCCAGCAGCCGCGGUAAAACGUAGGGGGCGAGCGUUAUCCGGAUUUACUGGGCGUAAAGCGCCUGCAGGCGGCGGGUCAAGUUGGACGUGAAAGCUCCCGGCUUAACUGGGAGAGGUCGUACAAAACUGACCGGCUAGAGGCUGAGAGAGGAGAGCAGAAUUCCCGGUGUAGUGGUGGAAUGCGUAGAUAUCGGGAGGAAUACCAGCGGCGAAGGCGGCUCUCUGGCUCAGAACUGACGCUGAGGGGCGAAAGCGUGGGGAGCGAACGGGAUUAGAUACCCCGGUAGUCCACGCUGUAAACGAUGGAUACUGGGCGUCGGGGGUAAUCAACCCCCCCGGUGCCGAAGCUAACGCGAUAAGUAUCCCGCCUGGGGACUACGGCCGCAAGGUUAAAACUCAAAGGAAUUGACGGGGGCCCGCACAAGCAGCGGAGCGUGUGGUUUAAUUCGAUGAUACGCGAAGAACCUUACCUGGGUUUGACAUACAGGUGGUAGCGAAGCGAAAGCGGAGCGACCCUUCGGGGAGCCUGAACAGGUGCUGCAUGGCUGUCGUCAGCUCGUGUCGUGAGAUGUUGGGUUAAGUCCCGCAACGAGCGAACCCUCUUUGCUAGUUACAAGUGUCUAGCGAGACUGCCGGUAUCAAACCGGAGGAAGGUGGGGAUGACGUCAAGUCAGCAUGGUCUUUAUAUCCAGGGCUACACACACGCUACAAUGGUCGGUACAAUGGGCGGCGACACCGCGAGGUGAAGCAAAUCCAGAAAGCCGGUCUCAGUUCGGAUUGUAGUCUGCAACUCGACUGCAUGAAGGCGGAGUUGCUAGUAACCGCGCGUCAGCCAUAGUGCGGUGAACGCGUUCCCGGGCCUUGUACACACCGCCCGUCACAUCAUGGGAGCUGGUAACACCUGAAGUCGGUGACCUAACCGCAAGGGAGGAGCUGCCGAAGGUGGGACUGGUGACUGGGAUGAAGUCGUAACAAGGUAGCUGUAGCGGAAGCUGCGGCUG